rnacentral:rRNA from 1 species
UUGGAGGGCAAGUCUGGUGCCAGCAGCCGCGGUAAUUCCAGCUCCAAUAGCGUAUAUUAAAGUUGUUGCAGUUAAAAAGCUCGUAGUUGAACUUCGAGAUUUAUUCAUUGGUCAGGCUUAAUUGUCUGUACUGGUGAGAUAAAUCUCUACCUUCUGAGGAACUUUCAUGCCAUUUAUUUGGUGUGAUUGGAAAUCAGGACUAUUACUUUGAAAAAAUUAGAGUGUUUAAAGCAGGCUAACGUCUGAAUACAUUAGCAUGGAAUAAUGAAAUAGGACGGACUGGUUCUAUUUUGUUGGUUUCUAGGAUCACCGUAAUGAUUAAUAGGGAUAGUUGGGGGCAUUAGUAUUCAAUUGUCAGAGGUGAAAUUCUUGGAUUUAUUGAAGACUAACUACUGCGAAAGCAUUUGCCAAGGAUGUUUUCAUUAAUCAAGAACGAAAGUUAGGGGAUCGAAGACGAUCAGAUACCGUCGUAGUCUUAACCAUAAACUAUGCCGACUAGGGAUCGGACGAAGUUAUUAAAAAUGACGCGUUCGGCGCCUUACGGGAAAC